rnacentral:rRNA from 1 species
CUACCUCAGGACUGAGAUAACCCCGGGAAACUGGGGCUAAUAUUAGAUAGAUAAAAGAUACUGGAAUGUUCUUUUAUCCAAAGCUUUUGCGCCUGAGGAUGGGCCUGCGUCCGAUUAGGUUGUUGGUGGGGUAAUGGCCCACCAAGCCUGCGAUCGGUACGGGCAGUGAGAGCUGAAGCCCGGAGUUGGGGACUGAGACAAGGCCCCAGGCCCUACGGGGCGCAGCAGGCGCGAAACCGUCUGCAAUGCGGGAAACCGUGACAGGGGGAUCCCAAGUGCUCAUGCAUUGCAUGGGCUGUUCUUUGGUCUAAGUAACCAGGAGGAGUAAGGGCUGGGCAAGACCGGUGCCAGCCGCCGCGGUAAUACCGGCAGCUCAAGUGGUAGCCGCGAUUAUUGGGCCUAAAACGUCCGUAGCCGGUUCUAUAAAUGCCUGGGUAAAUCGUACGGCUUAACCGUACGAAUUCCGGGUAGACUGUUCAACUUGGGACCGGGAGAGGCUAGAGGUACUCCUGGGGUAGAGGUGAAAUUCUGUAAUCCUAAGGGGGACCACCAGUUGGCGAAGGCGUCUAGCUAGAACGGGUCUGACGGUGAGGGACGAAGCCCUGGGGAGCAAACGGGAUUAGAUACCCCGGUAGUCCAGGGUGUAAACGCUGCUCGCUUGAUGUUAGUCGGGCUCCGAGCCCAACUAGUGUCGGAGAGAAGUUGUUAAGCGAGCUGCCUGGGGAGUACGGUCGCAAGACUGAAACUUAAC